UUUUAACGGAGAGUUUGAUUCUGGCUCAGAACGAACGCUGGCGGCGUGGAUAAGACAUGCAAGUCGGACGAGAUUUCGUCCUGUAGCAAUACGGGAAGAAGUCUAGUGGCGAACGGGUGCUUAACACGUGGGCAAUCUGUCUUAAAGUGGGGGAUAGCUCGGCGAAAGCCGAAUUAAUACCGCAUGUGAUUAGAGUGGACAUCCAUUCAAAAUUAAAGUCGGGGCAACCUGACGCUUUUUGAGGAGCCCGCGGCCUAUCAGCUAGUUGGUGAGGUAACGGCUCACCAAGGCUUUGACGGGUAGCUGGUCUGAGAGGACGACCAGCCACACUGGGACUGAGACACGGCCC
rnacentral:rRNA from 1 species